rnacentral:rRNA from 1 species
UACGGAGGGUGCAAGCGUUGUUCGGAUUUAUUGGGCGUAAAGCGCGUGUAGGCGGUUUCUUAAGUCUGAUGUGAAAGCCCUGGGCUCAACCCAGGAAGUGCGUUGGAUACUGGGAGACUUGAAUACGGGAGAGGGUAGUGGAAUUCCUAGUGUAGGAGUGAAAUCCGUAGAUAUUAGGAGGAACACCGGUGGCGAAGGCGGCUACCUGGACCGAUAUUGACGCUGAGACGCGAAAGCGUGGGGAGCAAACAGG